UACGGAGGGAGCUAGCGUUGUUCGGAUAUACUGGGCGUAAAGCGCACGUAGGCGGCGCAGCAAGUCAGGGGGUGAAAUCCCGGAGCUCAACUCCGGAACUGCCUUUGAAACUGCAGUGCUAGAAUCCUGGAGAGGCGAGUGGAAUUCCGAGUGUAGAGGUGAAAUUCGUAGAUAUUCGGAAGAACACCAGUGGCGAAGGCGACUCGCUGGACAGGUAUUGACGCUGAGGUGCGAAAGCGUGGGGAGCAAACAGG
rnacentral:rRNA from 1 species